GAGGCUUCGUCGGCCAAAUCCUUCUCGCCCAAGUUCAUUCGUCGAUUGCUGGUUCCUUUGGCUUCUGGUUCGGUCGUCCCCCGCCGGGCUUCUGCUUCGAUCGUGCCCGUCGAUGGCGGCGGAAGGAAGUACCAGGGAAGGACCGAAGGAGUUAAUGAGUUUACCUGUUGUUUUCUCUAACUACAGGGACUGUACAAUGCUGUGAUUGUAAUGCCUGGAAUUGUAACUGACCAGAGUAGUUUUGAUGAGAGGAACAGAAAAAAGUGCGCUGCCAAAGCAACAUCUCUUGAGCGAAAAAUGUCAGAGUUUGUUAUAGAUCCAUUCAUUCAGGCUUUCCACCAUAAGCAUCUGAGGAGCAACAGAUUCAAACAGGCAAAUCCGCCAUAAGUCAAUUUUUCGGUGCUAAGCCCAAAUCAGGCAAAUCCUCCGUACUUCAAGUUCACUGCUUUUCUUUCUAUUUUAUUACUUUUCCUUAUCUGAAUUCACACACAUUUCUACACUAUAUUAGCUAGCGUCUUGGAAGACACAUUUGUGGCAGUAGUUGUAUGUUGGUGCUUUUAUAGCUGCUAGUAUGGCUUAACGACAACAGUUUGUGGAGUGUAGUAAAGAAAUCUGAAAUAGUGGGCUCGUUUGUUUGACAUGCCUCAUGCCUGACCCUUUUUGGAUUGAAUAUGAGGAAUCAAUAGCACAGUCUUUUGUAAACUAGGUACUGCUAGUACUAAAUGGCAUGCCAGUAUUUUUUACCUAAUGCCUGCCUUCUAUAUCCAUUCAUGCCUCCAUGGUCCUUGAAAAGAGUCACACGUUCAUAGUUUCUUAGGAGAAAAGAGUCACGCCUAAUACCCACAUUCUAUUUGCAUGCAUCCCUCCAUGUUUUAUAUGUUCCUUCCAGUUUACGCCAAAUGCUUGGUCGGUCGCAUUUUUGAUGGUUUUAAUGGAAAAACAUUAGUUGAUACUACUGAAGUUUUAGAUGUCCGUUUUGUUAAUGUUGAAACAUUCAGAACAUUCUCAUGAAGUAGCCUCCCUUUAAUAGUCCAUCUAAGCAUUAUGUAUUCUUCUGGUAUGUUUGACAACAACAAAUUUGGUUAUGGGUUUUAUAGAUUAUGGGUUUUUCCCGGAUGCUUAUUUUUUACUGGUUCUAACUGCCACUAGCCUGAUAUAAUGAACUCAUAUUUUCUUGUCUCCUCUCAGUACUGUUUUCCUGGUUGUUCAUGCCAAGAAUCUGUUCACCUUCAUGCUAAAAUCCGUUCCAAGAAUCCGUUCACGGUGGGUAACCGUUCAUGGAAGGAAAUUGUUCAUGGCAAGAAUCCACUAAUGACAAGAAUCCGUUCAUGGUAGGAAAUCGUUCAUGUUAAAAAUCCGUUCAUGCUAAAAUCCGUGCAUGGCAAGAUUGUGUUCAUGGCAAGAAUCCGCUCAUGCCAAGAAUAGGUUCGUGGUAGGAAACUGUUGAUGUCAAAGUUAUGUUCCUGCUAAAAAUCCGUCCAUGCCAAGAGUCUGUUCAUGGUAAGAAUCCGUUCUUGGCAAGAAUCUGUUCGUGGCAUGAAUCCGUUCAUGGUAGGAAACCGUUCGAACAUAAAUCCGUUCAUGUUGAAUUCAUUCAUGAUUUUAUUAUGUUCAAGGUUAGCGAAAUGACAUGUUAAGAUUCCGUUCAUCCUUUUUUAUGUUCAAAGAAGGAAAACAAUCACGAUAAGAAUCCGUUCAUGAUUUUUUUUAUGUUCAAGGCAUUAAAGUGUUCAUGUCAAAAAUCUGUUUACUGCUAAAAAUCUAUUAAUCAGGAAACCGUUCAUGUUAAAAAUCUGUUCAUGCCAAAAAUCCGUUCACGUUAGGUAAUCUUUCAUGGCAGGAAAUCGUUCAUGGCAAGAAUCUGCUUAUGCCAAGAGUCUGUUCAUGGUAGGAAACCGUUCAUGUCAAAAUCAGUUCGUGCUAAAAAUCCGUUCAUGCCAAGAAUCCGUUCAUGGUAGGAAAUCGUUCAUGUAAGAACCAGCUCAUGCCAAGAGUCCGUUCAUGGUAGGAAACCUUUACUAUCAAAAAUCCGUUAAUGCCAAGAAUCAAUUCAUGCUAGAAAUUCGUUCAUGACACGAAUCCGUUCAUGGCAGGAAACCGUUCAAACAUAAAUACGUUCAUGCCAAUAAUUCAUUCAUGCUUUUAUUAUGUUCAAGGUCAGCGAAAGGACAUGUUAAGAUUCCGUUCAUCCUUUUUUAUGUUCAAAGAAGGAAAAUAUUAAGAAUUCGUUCAAGCUUUUAUUUAAUGUUUAAGGCAUGUUCAUUGAUAAGUCUUUUGAUGUACUCAAUCCUGACUACUCAAUUGAAAAAUUCUCGUUGUUUGAAGUUUUGAAUUCAGUGUAAAAUAUGUGCAUGUGCCUAAACCCAAUUUCAGGUCAUUCUUAUACAUUAUCUACCUUCCUAGUCUGUGUCUUAUUAUAUUUUAUGCUUACUAGGGAAUUAUUUCUUUCCAAUGACUGCAGAUAUGGUUCUGAGAUAUUUGUCAUUCAGUUCAUUAGAUAUGUUCAUGUGCGUAAACACAAUUUCAAGUCAUUCUUAUACAUUAUCUACCUUCCUUGUAUGUGUCUUAUUAUAUUUUUAUGCUUACUAGUGAAUUAUUUAUUUUCCAAUGACUGCAGAUAUCAUUUGAGAUAUAUUCUCCAAUGUUAGCUUUUUAUUCUUUUAAUUCGGAUGAAUAAAAAGAAUAAAAAGCUAACAUUUUUUUGGAUGAGUUUUUGGGUGUUGCAGGCGGUGCUGACUCGAUAGGAUGUGCUCAGUUAUUUUUCUGAGGGAUAAGAAUCCGAUCAUGGCUGACUUUCAAGCCAUCCGUGAAAUAAUCACAACUCAGAUUGUGAUAAACAAGUUUAAUGAGCAUCAAAUUCCUAUAGCAAGACAAUUCAUUGCUAAACAUGCUCCUUCAUUGACAGAAGUUUACAUCUCCUAUCUUGCAUGAAGAUAUUUAGCAAAUGAAACAAAAGGAGCACCUGAUAAAGCUAUACACUCCUGGAAGGAAAGAAAUGUGGAAGAAGCAAUACAAACUUGAGUUUCAUUUUGAGUUUCAAAGCAGUUGUAUUGGAGCAAAAUCAAAUUAUGACCUAUUUAUUUCUGUUUUCAUAAUCUGUUUUUAUAACA